CAGUAGGACCGAAAUAUCUUAAAGGUACCAGAUCCCAUCUGAUCUUGGAAACCAAGCAGGGACAGACCUAGUUAGUUUUUGGAUGGGAGACUGCGAACAAAUCACAGGUUCUGUAGA
rnacentral:rRNA from 1 species